ACUUUUUUGGGCUCCCGCUUCGUGCCAGGCACUACAAAUGGGGAGUAAGGCUGAGAAGAUCUCAGUUCUUGCGGAGAUGAGAUUCUGGUGGGGCAGAAAGACCCCAGAACCAAGCACUGAGCGGUUCCGGAAUGAAGACAGAUGAAGGAGAGAACGCAUGACGACAGUAUUUAUUCACUGGAAAGCAAAGUCCAACGUCCACCAUAAAACCCUGCAGCUGAAAAACGGCAAGCUGAGCAGCUCUCAAAUAAAGACAGCCUCCGCCGUCUUGCACAGCGCAGCCCCUCUCGCGCCCAAGUCCUGUACCUGCGUGAAAGCACUAAAUCACAGACCCUGCAACCUGUUGUAUGCCCCGGUGACAGUCAGCAGCUGGGCUCGGGCAAGCUCCCUCAGCCGGCGCUGGCUCAGAGAGCAGACUUCCCUCAGCAGCUCCAAGGAGCGCUGCAGCUCCCAGGCUAAGGGAGUAAGCCAACGAUUUGAGAUCCUAAUCAAGGCUUCCUUUUACCUUAAAGAAACUUCCUCGCUUGUCCAGACUGCGGGCGCCCAUGGUCCAAGCUGACAUUUCCCCCAGCGAGGCUCCACUGCACGCCGGGGACUCCUGAAGGUAGAGACAUUUUUAAUGGUUAGUCCAGCCUGUAGGAAAUUCCUUUCUAAGCCACAGAACACUCACAACAACAGUCCUGCCAAGAUCUUUUUCCGUCAACAACACAGUGCCAUUUAUUUCCCACCAAGCCCUUACAUCUCCCUUCAGCCCCCACCAGCGCAGUUCCUAGACUGCCCCACCUCGCCAACCCACCUCCCAACUCUGCCUCGGACAGAGAAGGUCCUUGGGACUUCAGGAAGCAUAAUGAUUAUUUUAUGUGUUUGACCUCACUCUGAAAUGUGCAUGGAACCAAUAUUAGAUGUCCCCAUCAUCUGCUCUGAAAGCUUAUAGAUUGAAUGUGGCUAAUCACAGAAAGACAUCCGAAGGAGGAGGUUCUGUACGUCCCAGGAAAUCAUGCUGGAAGGGGCUGAGGUCAUCCUUAGCUCUGCUGGCCUCUCCCCCACGCAAGGUCAACAGAAGGGCACUGGGAAGAAAUCGCUCUAUUUUUUUUCUUUAGAAAUCAGAAAUAUUUGGAUAAAAUCCUGUCACUGUUUACAGGGAUGAGUUCACAGAAGAGGACAACAUGUAAACAGCUUCAUGAUUAUCUAAAAAAGAGGAGUUGAACAUAGAGGAAAACUGAGAGGCAGAAUAACAACACAGUUCUGAAUUCUAACUGGCUUUUUGAGCUUGGAAUUUCCCCUGCUUAGGGCAUCAGAUCCCAAUAAUUCUUCCCUUCGGGACACAAAGUCUUCAACAUUCAGUUCUAAGUUAAACACAGACACACCUCUGCCAGCUGACCCGUCCCAGGCCUUCAUGCAUUGAGGGGAGCCUGAGGGCGCACCCCAAACCCUUCCUUACCCAGUGACUGUCCCAGGGGCAAGUAUAAAACCACCCUGUCUUUCCUCAUUCACCCCUUCUCACCAUAACAUGCACAGGAUGUAGCUCAUGCCAACCGUGACCGACACAGAGGAAGGCCAGUGAAGGAAAGAGUGAGACUGUCUCUUGCACCACCAAGGAAUAUUCAAAGUGGUUCAGCUGCAGGGGUGGGGAGGCACCAAAGCUAAGGCAGCUGCUGCUGCAGGUUCACUGAGGCUGUUUCAUUAUUACUGAGCGGCGGAGAGCCAGCGACACAAACAGGACAUUGAGGGCGACGUUUAGGGAUGUUUCAACAAGUGGAAAAGCAUGAAUCCAUAGCUGAGAAGUGCAUCCAAGUGAGUGAGCAAGGAUCUUUGCAGAGAGAUUUUUUUUGGACCCACGAUUUGCUCCCCCGCUUGCACUCACAGUGAGUGUGAUGACCUGUGCACGGAAUCCAAUCUAGAAAAAAAUAAUGAUACAGUGCAUCCCUCCCCUCCUUCCAGAACCAUCGUCUCUUUGUGUCAUUGCUCCAUGGUGUGGCCACUUUAAAGGUUUGAUGGUGUCUUCCCUGUGUUUCUUUCCACUUGUGAUCCUGCUGGGAUGAAGGCCAGUGUUCCAGAAACCUCCUGAGAAGGGAGUGUGUGAUUCUGCUGACACCAGAAGUUCAGGUUCUGGGGUUCAUCACUCAUUAGCAAAGUCCACAGGUUGGAACAACUCCAGAAAGAAAUCACAGUGCUGUGCUCAGAACUAGGAGUGGAAUGGGAGCCACACUGUCACCUUGGGGAGCAAACCAUGGCCCGUUUAGACCCAGAAGCACACAAUAAAAAAGCAUACCCUGCUUUAAACCAUGCCUAAUGUCUGGAAUUCUUUUUAUUUCAGAUGUUUUUUUCGGCAGCGGAUUUGAUGUCGCCUGGCAGUUCAGGAAUUGCUAAACGAGAGCCAAGACUUCAUUCCUCAUCCAGACCUAAGUUUCUUUGUUCUGUUCUGAAGUUUUCCAUAUACAAACUCUUUCUGAUGAGCCAGAGCAGGCAGGGAAUUUUGCCUAUAGCAUUGGAGCAGUUUGGGUUCCAGAAGUGUACUAAUUAAUUACUUUAAUUAGCUGCCUGAAAACUGCAUGUGCACACUUUAACUCCAGCAGUCCUCAAAUCACCAUCCAAUCUGGACUCUGCUCAGGGCAGGACAAUCCAUCACAUUUUAAAAGAUGCUAGCGGCAUCUCUCCUUCAUGAGCUGCUCCAAGAGAGAGAGAUGGGAGCAGGUGACAGGAACACGCCGCCAGGUGCCGCAGCAGCCGCUGAAUGAGGCGAGGCAGCUCGGACUUCAGUCUCAGUAAACAAGACCUCGUUAUUGUAAUUAUUUUACAGCCAAAUUGACUGAAAUAGGAAAAAGUGACUCACCCUAGGGGACCUGUCAGGUCAAGUCCGAAUCUGAGAAAUGCAUCUCACUUUUUUGCCUGGUUCCUUAACCAGCUCCCGGGGAGACGGGUCAUCUCUCCUUCCAACGCCUUUUGGUUUUUGUAAGAGCGGUAGAAGGAAGUGGAGGUGGCUCUGUGUCUGGGUGCAGGGAAGGUCUCUGAAUAUUUCCAUAAUUAUGUUUGUAUUACCCAGUAUUUCACACGUUGGACAGAAAAAUGUUAUUCCAAGGUCAGACUUGACAAUUUGAACUGUGUGAAUUAAAAGAAAUUUUUAAAGUGUCUUGGAUCACUGUUCAACACGGGUUUCCCCUCACUCAACAAUCAUUUUUUUUUUUUUUAAUUUAAGUUUUAAGUUCAUGAAAACUUUUCAUUGAAAAGAGAAGCUAAUUUGUGGGAAAGAAAGAAGUCCUAUGCAAAGAACUGCAUUCCCAGCCCCCUUACUUAACAACAGUGUUUUAAUAUUCGUUUUAAUUAUUGUUUUUGAGGCAGGGUCUCAUUCUGUU